GCUAGGGUAGCAAAGCACGGCAACUGCACAAGACUUAAGCUCUUGUAACAGAGGUUCAACUCCCCUCCCUAGCA